UGUAUUCACUACUGUAAGUUGCUCUGGAUAAGAGUGUCUGCUACAUGACUAAAA
rfam:Salmo salar isolate Sally breed double haploid chromosome ssa10, whole genome shotgun sequence.